CCGCAAUGGGCGAAAGCCUGACGGAGCAACGCCGCGUGAGGGAGGAAGGCCUUUGGGUGUAAACCUCUUUUGUUAGGGAAGAAGAAAGUGACGGUACCUAACGAAUAAGCAUCGGCUAACUCCGUGCCAGCAGCCGCGGUAAUACGGAGGAUGCAAGCGUUAUCCGGAAUUAUUGGGCGUAAAGCGUCCGCAGGUGGUUUCGCAAGUCCGCUGUCAAAGCGUGCAGCUUAACUGCAUAUCGGCAGUAGAAACUGCGAGACUAGAGUACGGUAGGGGUAGCGGGAAUUCCCAGUGUAGCGGUGAAAUGCGUAGAGAUUGGGAAGAACAUCGGUGGCGAAAGCGCGCUACUGGGCCUGUACUGACACUCAGGGACGAAAGCUAGGGGAGCGAAAGGGAUUAGAUACCCCUGUAGUCCUAGCCGUAAACGAUGGAAACUAGGCGUGGCUUGUAUCGACCCGAGCCGUGCCGAAGCUAACGCGUUAAGUUUCCCGCCUGGGGAGUACGCACGCAAGUGUG
rnacentral:rRNA from 1 species